UACGUAGGUGGCAAGCGUUGUCCGGAAUUAUUGGGCGUAAAGCGCGCGCAGGCGGUCCUUUUAAGUCUGAUGUGAAAAGCCCCACGGCUCAACCGUGGAGGGGUCAUUUGGAAAACUGGGGGACUUGAGUGCAGAAGAGGAAAAGCGGAAUUCCAAAGUGUAGCGGUGAAAAUUCGUAGAUAUUCGGAAAGAACACCAGUGGCGAAAGGGCGACUUACUGGACACAUAUUGACGCUGAGGUGCGAAAAGCGUGGGGGAGCAAACAGG
rnacentral:rRNA from 1 species